rnacentral:rRNA from 1 species
GAUGAACGCUGGCGGCGUGCUUAACACAUGCAAGUCGAACGGAGCUUGUCUGAUAGAGGAUUCGUCCAAUUGAUUUCAAGCUUAGUGGCGGACGGGUGAGUAACGCGUGAGGAACCUGCCUUGGAGUGGGGAAUAACACAGUGAAAAUUGUGCUAAUACCGCAUAAUGCAGUUGAGUCGCAUGGCUCUGACUGCCAAGGAUUUAUCGCUCUAAGAUGGCCUCGCGUCUGAUUAGGUAGUUGGUGAGGUAACGGCUCACCAAGCCGACGAUCAGUAGCGGGACUGAGAGGUGUGCCGGCCACAUUGGGACUGAGACACGGCCCAGACUGCUACGGGAGGCAGCAGUGGGGAAUAUUGGGCAAUGGGCGCAAGCCUGACCCAGCAACGCCGCGUGAAGGAAGAAGGCUUUCGGGUUGUAAACUUCUUUUGUCAGGGACGAAUAAAUGACGGUACCUGACGAAUAAGCCACGGCUAACUACGUGCCAGCCGCCGCGGUAAGAC